rnacentral:sRNA from 2 species
UUUUAGCCCCGAUAGAAGUGAAAAUCCUUUUGUGCCGGGGUUCGGCACAAAAGAUUGUAACGUAUAGCGGGAUUAGCU